rnacentral:Y_RNA from 1 species
GGCUGGUCCGAGUGCAGUGGUGCUUACAAGUAAUUGAUCGUAACCAGUUACAGAUUCCUUUGUUCCUUCUCCACUCCUGCUGCUUCCCUUGACUAGCCUAAA